AUUGAACGCUGGCGGCCGGCCUAACACAUGUAAGUCGAGCGGAGCGGCGGACGGGUGAGUAAUACCUAGGAAUCUGCCUGGUAGUGGGGGAUAACGUUCGGAAACGGCCGCUAAUACCGCAUACUAUCAGAUGAGCCUAGGUCGGAUUAGCUAGUUGGUGAGGUAAUGGCUAACCAAGGCUACGAUCCGUAAAUGGUCUGAGAGGAUGAUCAGUCACACUGGAACUGAGACACGGUCCAGACGCCUACGGGAGGCAGAAGUGGGGAAUAGUGGAGAAUGGGCGAAAGUCUGAUCCAGCCAUGCCGCGUGUGGGAAGAAGGUCUUCGGAUUGUAAAGCACUUUAAGUUGGGAGGCGUUAGCGACAGAAUAAGCACCUGCUAAGUCUGUGCCAGCAGGCGAGGUAAUAC
rnacentral:rRNA from 1 species